rnacentral:rRNA from 1 species
UACGUAGGGGGCAAGCGUUGUCCGGAUUCAUUGGCGUAAGAGCGUGUAGGCGGCCAGGUAGGUCGGUUGAUGAAACUGGAGGCUCAACCUUCAGAGGUCGACCGAAACCAUCUGGCUAGAGUCCGGGAGAGGAGAGUCGGAAUUCCUGGUGUAGCGGUGAAAUGCGCAGAUAUCAGGAAGAACACCCGUGGCGAAAGCGGCUCUCUGGAACGGUACUGACGCUGAGACGCGAAAGCGUGGGGAGCGAACAGG